CCUACGGGUGGCAGCAGUGAGGAAUAUUGGUCAAUGGGCGGAAGCCUGAACCAGCCAAGUCGCGUGAGGGACUAAGGCCCUACGGGUCGUAAACCUCUUUUGCCGGGGAUCAGUGCCCAGCUCGCGAGCUGGGAGGGAGCGUACCCGGAGAAAAAGCAUCGGCUAACUCCAUGCCAGCAGCCGCGGUAAUACGUAGGAUGCGAGCGUUAUCCGGAUUUAUUGGGUUUAAAGGGUGCGUCGGCGGCGCUUCAGGUCAGCGGUGAAAUACCGGGGCUUAACCCCGGGGCUGCCGUUGAAACCGGAGCGCUAGAAGUCCGAUGACGUCGGAGGAAUGUGUGGUGUAGCGGUGAAAUGCAUAGAUAUCACACAGAACACCGAUUGCGAAGGCAUCUGACGAAUCGGAGAUUGACGCUGAUGCACGAAAGCGUGGGUAUCGAACAGGAUUAGAUACCCCAGUAGUC
rnacentral:rRNA from 1 species